rnacentral:tmRNA from 2 species
GGGGCUGAUUCUGGAUUCGACAGGAUUUGCGAAGCCCUAGGAGCAUGCCGAGGGGCGGUUUGCCUCGUUAAAAGCCGCAAAAAAAUAGUUGCAAACGACGAAAACUACGCACUAGCAGCUUAAUAACCUGCUCAGAGCCCUCUCUCCCUAGCCUCCGUUCUUAGGACGGGGAUCAAGAGAGGUCAAAAACAAAAGAACUCGUGUGGAUGUCCUGCCUGGGGCUGAAACACUAAAUCUAAUCAGGCUAGUUGGUUAGUGGCGUGUCCGUUCGCAGCUAACCGGCGAAUGUAAAGACUGGACUAAGCAUGUAGUGCCGACGGUGUAGUAAUUCUGGACGCGGGUUCAACUCCCGCCAGCUCCACCA